rnacentral:rRNA from 1 species
CCACACUGGAACUGAGACACGGUCCAGACUCCGUACGGGAGGCAGCAGUGGGGAAUCUUGCGCAAUGGGCGGAAAGCCUGACGCAGCGACGCCGCGUGAGUGAUGAAGGCCUUCGGGUUGUAAAGCUCUGUGGGGCGAGACGAAUAAGUGCAGCCUAAUACGUUGCAUGAUGACGGUAUCGCCUUAGCAAGCACCGGCUAACUCUGUGCCAGCAGCCGCGGUAAGACAGAGGGUGCAAACGUUGUUCGGAAUUACUGGGCGUAAAGCGAGUGUAGGCGGUCUUGUAAGUCGGGUGUGAAAGCCCCGGGCUCAACCCGGGAAGUGCACUCGAAACUGCGAGGCUAGAGUAUCGGAGAGGUUGGUGGAAUUCUCGGUGUAGAGGUGAAAUUCGUAGAUAUCGAGAGGAACACCGGUGGCGAAGGCGGCCAACUGGACGAAUACUGACGCUGAGACUCGAAAGCGUGGGGGAGCAAACAGGAUUAGAUACCCUGGUAGUCCACGCCGUAAACGAU